rnacentral:SRP_RNA from 1 species
GCUGGGCGUGGUGGCUCACGCCUGUAAUCCCAGCACUUUUGAGAGGCUGAGGUGGGUGGAUCACUUGAGGUCAGGAGUUCAAGACCGGCCUGACCAACAUAGUGAAACCCCAUCUCUA